GCGUACUGGGGAGCAGCGGAUGCGGUAAGACGGAGGGUGGGAGCGGAGUGUGUGAGGAAUGGGCGUGAAGAGAAAGUAGGAGGCUUGUUAAGUGUCGGGGGGAAUCUGAAGGCGCGAGGUGGAAAGUGCGCGGGAAACGGGCGAGCGUGAGUGACGUAGAGGGUGGCGGAAAUCCCGGUGUGGGUGUGAAAUGCGUAGAUAUCGGGAGGGACACCAGAGGCGAAGGCGGCCACCUGGACGGACACUGACGCUGAGACGCGAAAGCGUGGGGAGCAAACAGGAUUAGAUACCCCAGUAGUC
rnacentral:rRNA from 1 species